ACAUGCAAGUCGAACGGAGAUAUUUGGUUUACUGAGAUAUCUAGUGGCGGACGGGUGAGUAACACGUGAGCAACCUACCUUAGAGAGAGGGAUAGCUUCUGGAAACGGAUGGUAAUACCUCAUGACAUACAGAGACCGCAUGAUCUUUGUAUCAAAGAUUUAUCACUCUGAGAUGGGCUCGCGUCUGAUUAGAUAGUUGGUGAGGUAACGGCUCACCAAGUCGACGAUCAGUAGCCGGACUGAGAGGUUGAACGGCCACAUUGGGACUGAGACACGGCCCAGACUCCUACGGGAGGCAGCAGUGGGGAAUAUUGCACAAUGGGGGAAACCCUGAUGCAGCGAUGCCGCGUGGAGGAAGAAGGUUUUCGGAUUGUAAACUCCUGUCUUAAAGGACGAUAAUGACGGUACUUUAGGAGGAAGCUCCGGCUAACUACGUGCCAGCCGCAGC
rnacentral:rRNA from 1 species